rnacentral:lncRNA from 1 species
CACAAAGACAAGCAUCAGAAAAGAAAAGAGAAGAACAAACGAAGAAGAAAAAAGAUGCCAACGAUAAAACCGUCGUUGGAGAGUGAUGCACAAAGGAAUUUUCGAGCCCUCGUCCAAUGACAGACUCUCGUCAAUGAAAAAUGUCAGGUCAUCAUCAUCGAUUAGCUUCACGGUUGGGUUGGUAAUUUUGAUCCAUAUGCCGUCGUUAUUAUGAUCUUAUAUUCACUGGGAUCUACCUCAAGAAUAUGAUACAGUCUCUGCACAAGUCCUUCAUAGGUAAUGCUGUCUGAAACCAUAAUUCCCUUCGUUUUACCACCAAUGUAUAUAGAAUUGCCCCACUUCCCAUCAUAGUUAACCAAAAGUCUAAGUUUAUUAAUUUUCCUGAAAAUACAUGGAAAAAAUUAGUUAGCAAAGAAAGUAUAUAAACUGAUUAAAUGAAAGAAACUUACUCUACAACUACAAGUAGAAAUAAAUUGAUUGAUUAAAAUAAACCCUAGCUGUCUGGGGAUGAGUAUCUUUCUUCCUCCUCUUUUUUUGUUCUUGCUUCUUUGUUCUCUAAAAAUCUAGUGAUAUGCUCACUGGCGGAGCCAAGUUAAGGGCUGCCCCGGGCUGUAGCCGAGGUAGCUUGAGGUGAAAAAUAAAAUUUUACAUGUAAUUUUGAUUGAUUUUCGAAUGUAGCCCAACAAAUAUUUAGUCACUAAUUCGAAUUCUUUAGGUUUAACUAUAUAAAAUUAUAUAAUACAGUUUGUUCGACAAAAAAAAAAAUAUAAUACAGUUUGUAAACCAUCUCUUUUUCUUACAAUAUUUUUCUCAUCGUUUCUUGUAAAUAUACCAGUUUGGAUUUGUUUAAUUUUAAUACGUAUUUGUUUAAUUACAAAAAAAAUUUGGCUCACCUUGUGAAAAUUUUUAAGCUAGCUGAUACGUUGAAAAAUACGGUAUCAAGUUUCUUUAUUUAUAAAAAUUUAAAAUUUUAAGUUAGCCCACCCGAUAAAAAAUUCCUAGCUCCGCUAUUGGAUAUGCUGCUCUUGGAGGAUUCCGGCUAUGUACUCAAAUGUGACCAUUGUCGUCUAGUAAAGAACCUUGUGCCUUAUGCUGACGUAGUUUGUGUGGGUUUCGACAAAUUCCGACCUAGUGGAGGACUAUACUUGAUGGAAAACAAGGGACUUUCAUUUUCAUCAUCGGUCAUGAUAAUCAUCAGUCACCUUGAAAGAUGAGGAUGAUGAGCAAUAAACCAGAAGAAAAUAUCCAACCAUUUCAAUUUGACAAAAAGAGCGAAAAAGUUUACCUUGUAGUUCUAGGAGAAGAUACUCGGGGUUUAAGAAUAUUCAUCUUCGAGCUUUUAUCCAAACAUAGACUCUGUUCUAUUUAAAAUGACAAGUCCUCAUCAUCGACUAUCUGUACUGGUUGAGCAGGCAAUUUUGAGUCAUCUGUAGUCUUCAUUAUAAUCUCAUACUCAUAUGGAUCUAUCCCGACGAUACGAUACACGCUACCUAGAAGCUCCUCAAAAGUAAUGUCCUUUGACACCACUAUUUCUUUCGCUUUACCACCAACGUAUGCAGUACUAACCCACUCUCCAUCGUAGUGAACCGAAAUGCCAACUUUACUUAUUUUCCUGAAAGUGAAAUAAAACAAUUAGGAAAAGAACAAUCGUGAAAAAUUAUAGGCAUUGGCGACUUAUAAAAAUAUAACAUUCAAAAUCAAUAAAGGUCAUCGUACCCAGUGCACAAGGUUUCCGCUUUACGCAGGGUCUGGGAGAGGCCCUUGUAUUACACUUGAUACCGACCAUGUCUGACAAUGCUUCUUCAUGUUCUGUAAAGGCCUUGAGAAUCGUGUGCAAGUUAGAUUUUUCUGUGCAUUAAAGAAUCUUCACAAGCUCAUCCAAGCACCAAGUUGAGGAGGCAAAGUUCUUUGAAAGAGUGACGAGGGAAAUCAGUGAUUCUUCAAUUGCUUUUACAAUUCCUGAGGAAAUAGAUUGUCCUCUCUCAAGCCUUUUAUCAUCUCUAAAGGUGGUAAUUCCUUUCUGCUCCAAUGAAGCGUACAUAUGAUCCACAAUAUUCAAGCGGGUGUCUUUGCCUCUAAAACACAUAAACACAUCAUACUUCCAUCUUUGAGAAGAAAAAGGUGUUGAUGUUUUAGCCAGUAUCGAAGAGGGGAUCGUAGAAGGAAACACAGGGUGCAAUUUCCUCCGUAUGUCAUCAACAAUUUCUUUAAUGAGCUCUGAUUCGUGCCUACAACAAAGAAAAGAGACUAUUAAUCACUUUUCCAUCCUCUCUCUCACUCUCGUUUUUGUAAUUUCUCCUACAAUAACUUUGGUCAGUGAGUGCAUUUUUUUCCCUAGAUGAUUGUGAUUUAAUCUAGCUACUACAUAAUUUUUGAAUUUUACUCAUCUAACAGCAAUAUCAAUGCGGUGUUGCAAACAUACAUCAUUUAGCAGAAGAAAAGAGUCUAUAAAAAUAUAUGCAUACCGGCCCCUUGAAUCCCAUCCAGAGAGGUUUGCUACUUGGGUUAAGGUCAUCUCCAACCGAAGGGUCCAGAGGGCCAGAGGGCCGAAAAUAGCCCUAAAACCGUCUCCAACCGAGGGCUAGGCCAGAGGGCUCUGGAAUCUGGGAGGGGCCCACGGGAUCGGAGAGGGCUGGAGGGCUGGAGGGGGGCUGGCUUAUUUUUUUUUUAAUGUUUUCUAUUGCUGUCGGUUAAAACCGACAGCAUUAAAGAGGUUUUUUUUUUUAAUAGUUUGAAAUGUUUUUUAAUGUAACGGCUAGCUGAGUCAGCUAGCCGUUGGCUUUUUUUUUUUUUUUUUAAAUUUAAUUUAAACAUUUUUUUCUUCUAUAAAUAUGGUGAAGUUCUUUCAAUUCUUCACUUCAUUUGCAAUAUUUCCUUCUUCAAUAUUUUUCAAUAUUUCCUUCAAUAUAUUUCUCAAUAUUUCCUUCAAUAUAUUUUCUAAUAUUUCCUUCAUCUAUAAUAUUUGUUUCAAUUUUUCAAUAUUUCCUUCAAUAUAUUUUCCAAUAUUUCCUUCAUCUAUAAUAUUUGUUUCAAUUUUUCAAUAUUUCCUUCAUCUAUAAUAUUUCUUCAUUUCAUUUGCAAUAUAUUUCUCAAUAUUUCCUUCAAUAUUUCCUUCAAUAUAUUUUCUAAUAUUUCCUUCAUCUAUAAUAUUUGUUUCAAUUUUUCAAUAUUUCCUUCAAUAUAUUUUCCAAUAUUUCCUUCAUCUAUAAUAUUUGUUUCAAUUUUUCAAUAUUUCCUUCAUCUAUAAUAUUUCUUCAUUUCAUUUGCAAUAUUUCCUUCAAUAUUUCCUUCAUUUUUUUUCAAAAAAAAUGGCCUCAUCUGCAAUGAAAGGUAGGGCUUGGACCCGAAAAGAAGAUGAAGCUCUUUGCAAGGCUUAUAAAUGGAUAUCAGAAGAUAGUGUGAGGGGGAUUUCUCAAACAAGUGAAGGUGUUUGGACUCGUGUGUCCAAAAAAUACUUAGAGUUCUACGAAGGCACCAUUCCACCGAAUACCCGAAACCACGAAAGUUGUUCUUCAAGAUGGAAGAAACAUCUUCAUCCAAGUUUGAAUAAAUGGCAUCAAGCACUAUUAGCAGCAGCAAGUAGACAUGAAAGCGGCGCCAAUUACUAUGACGAAGUUAGUGUUUUUCCAGUUUAUUUUAAAUGUUUAAUUAUAUUACAUUAAUUUCGUGAAUUAAUUUCCUAAAAUUUUUUUAAUUAUAUUUUCUAGGUACGCUAAGCGGAGGAAUUGUAUAUGGAGGGCAGCUCAAAACCCUUUCAGUUUCAUGGUUGUUGGGAAAUUUGUAAAGGGUGGGUGUUAUUUGAAGAUCCACCUCAACAUAGAGUGGAUCCUUUGGAAGUUGCAUCCCCAUCUGUAGAUAUGAAUGAAGAUGGAUCUCCUACCAUUCAACAAACAAGGGUAGAAAAUCUGACUCCAUCCGAAAUUUCUUUACCUAGGGCUAUGGGACGAAACAAGGCCCGAAGGUUAAGGGAAAAGGGCCAGGCAAAUGCUGAUUACGCCGCUCAACAUGAAGUGGCGGCCUCAUUUCGAUUAUUGGCGGAGCAAAAUGCCCGUGAGGCGGAAGAAAGGAAGUGUAGACAUGAAGAGCGAGCCAAACAAAUACAAGAAGAGAUGGAUGAUAAGAAUAUGGAAAGGAACACUUCGAAUUACACUCCAAUGAGUAAGGCCUAUUUUGAUAAGGAAAAAAAAAAGAAAUUAUGGCUCGGCGGCAAUUGUUUACCUCUGACUAUACUCCUACAAUGGCGGAUGAUGAAGAUGAUAUUGAUUAUGGAUAUUAAAUUUAAGUCGUUGUAAUUUUUAAAUUUAAGUUAAUGUUGUUUUUAAAUUUAAUUUGUAGUGUUUAAAUAUAAGUUGUUGUUUUUAAAUUUAAGUUGUUGUAGUUUUUAAAUUUAAAUAAUAAAUUAUGUUUGGCCCUAUGGCCCUUUGGCCCUCGGUUGGAGACGGUUUUUUGUGAAAGGGCUAAAACGAGCCCUUUGGCCCUCUGGCCCUCGGUUGGAGACGGAGGCAAAUAUGGCCAUGUACUGUUCAUUAAAAUAUUAAUAUCUUGGGGAAUCUUAGAGGGCCAGAGGGCUUAAACGAGCCCUUUGGCCAGCCCUCGGUUGGAGAUGGCCUAAAGCAGCCCUCCACCUUCGAAUCUUGUCUGGGUCAUCCUUAUAUGUUUCUUCGUGUUUAGCAAAGGCUUCAGCAAAACUCCAUGUUUGGUUUCGUACGUCAGAGGGAUCGACAUUAUAGAAAAUUGGUAGCACCGUUUUUCUUUUUCCAUGGGAUUCAAGAAUCAAUUCAAGCUCAUCCAAUGCCCAUAAUGAUGAUGCAUAAUUCUCUUCAAGAAUAGUAAUUGCAGUCCUCGAAUUCUGAAUUAAAUUUCUGAGUACUUGAUUCUCGCGCUCAAUUCUUUAAAUACAAUGACCAAUAGUUUUUAGUUCGCACUUCUUAAACUCUGUACAUAGAGUAUCUCGAAAAAACUUGCUGACGCCUUCUCAUGUAAAACUCAUAAAGGCAUCAUAUUUCCCCUGAGGAUUUGGAGGAGAUGAAUUCAAACCCAAGGAGCUUGAUGCCAUUGGAGAUGUGGUUCUCACAAUAGAAUAAUGAGAUUAAUUUCACAAGCAAUCUGCUGGAGACAGCACAACUUGUUAAAGUAAGCUAUUUGGUAAUACAACCAGUAAAAAAUAUAAAAAAAAAACACAAAUAGUCUGCGAAAUUGCAUACUAUAUACAACAACAACAACAACAACAAAGCCUUUUCCCACUAAGUGGGGUCGGCUAUAUGAAUCCUAGAACGCCAUUGCGCUCGGUUUUGUGUCAUGUCCUCCGUUAAAUCCAAGUACUCAAGUCCUUUCUUAGGGUCUCUUCCAAAGUUUUCCUAGGUCUUCCUCUACCCCUUCGGCCCUGAACCUCUGUCCGUAGUCACAUUUUCGAACCGGAGCGUCAGUAGGCCUUCUUUGCACAUGUCCAAACCAUCGGAACCGAUUUUCUCUCAUAUUUCCUUCAAUUUUGGCUACUCCUACUUUACCUCGGAUAUCCUCAUUCCCAAUCUUAUCCUUUCUCGUGUGCCCAUACAUCCCACGAAGCAUCCUCAUCUCCGCUACACCCAUUUUGUGUACGUGUUGAUGCUUCACCGCCCAACAUUCUGUGCCAUACAACAUCGCUGGCCUUAUUGUCGUCCUAUAAAAUUUUCCCUUGAGCUUCAGUGGCCUACGACGGUCACACAACACGCCGGAUGCACUCUUACACUUCAUCUAUCCAGCUUGUAUUCUAUGGUUGAGAUCUCCAUCUAAUUCUCCGUUCUCUUACAAGAUAGAUCCUAGGUAGCGAAAACAGUCACUUUUUGUGAUCUUCGCUAGAUUGCUCCGGUCAUUAGUGUGGAUAAGUAUAUAAAUGGAUAGAGAUAGGAAAACAAACACAAGAUGUACGUGGUUCACCCAUAUUGGCUACGUCCACGGAAUAGAGGAGUUCUCAUUAAUUGUGAAGGGUUUACACAAGUACAUAGGUUCAAGCUUUCCUUUAGUGAGUACAAGUAAAUGAUUUAGUACAAAUGACAUUAGGAAAUAUUGUGGGAGAAUGAUCUCGUAACCACGAAACUUCUAAGUACCGGAGUGUGGUAUCGUCUUGACUUGCCUUAUCUGUCUCAUAGGUAGAUGUGGCAUCUUCUCUAGAAGUACUCUUCCUCCAUCCAGGGGUGGUAUCUGUAACUGGUAGAGAUGCACAAGGUAAUGUAUCAAUUUCACUUGAAGCUUACUUGUAGUUUCAGGCUUGGUCAAGCGCGAUACAAACUAUGUAGUAGAAGUCCCCCCAAGUCGCCGAGCUAGGGGAUCUGCUGAAAGAGGUGACAGACAAGGUAAGCAAUCAGAGCUCCGGCUGAUUGUUCACAUUCUCCCUAUCUUGCAGGCAGCAUGAAGGAUAAAGAGAAGAAAAAUGAGAAGAGAUGAUAUGGGAUACUUUUGCUUUUGAAGAAGUAACUUUCCACAGGCUUAUUCUUGAACUGGGCUGGAGGGAUUUUCUGGUUUCCUCUAGAGUAUAAGGCCGACUGAAGAAUUUGAGGGCCAAAACAAGUCCAUCAAAUCUAGAGUACGUUCGACCUUGCUGAUAUGGGAUACUUUUGCUUUUGACAGAGUAGUGGAUGUAUCUAGGGGUGGGCAAACGGGUCCUGGAUCCGCGGGUAGGGGCGGGUAUUAGCGGUUCGGGGCGGGUCCUAAUUUUAAAAAAGAGAAACGGGGCGGGGCGGGGCGGGUCUUUGAAAUUUUAGGUUCGGGCCGGUUCCAAAAGUAUAGAAAAACGGGUACCCGGACCGGCCCGUUUGCAAAAAUACCCUGUGUUGGGUACUGUUACUAUCCCAGGCCCACUUUUUUUUGUCCCUCCCCGUGAUGGUUCUCUCACUCUCGAGAACACACACCCAAUCUCUCGAACCUUCUCCCUUCUCCCUCAUUCCUCUUCUCUGUUUCUUCUCCCCCAUCUCUGCAACUCUCAUUCCGGAGCUCGAUCGCGCUGAUGUCAUCCCAGGCCGGCCAAGUCGGAAUCUACGGCUACACGGCCUACUCCGCCAGCAAGUUCGGGCUCCGUGGCUUGGCCGAGGCUCUGCAGCAAGAGGUGAUUUCUCACGACAUUCACGUUUCUCUCGUAUUCCCGUUGGACAUAGACACCCUUGGCUUCGCAGAUGACUUUGCCGCUCUUUCUUCCCGAGACGCAGAUGACUUUGCCGCUCUUUCUUCCCAGGACCAAGACUCGCAGUCUCUCUCUUCUUCCUCGGACACCUUCAUACUCGGCUUCGUCAUCGCCAACAUCGUUGGAAUUCAAUACUCUCAUUUCUCUCUCACCCCUUUCUCUCACUCUUUCACAGUCUCACUCUCUACACGUCCCUCAUUUCUCUCGGAUCUGUCAUGGAUCCGAGUGUUCUGUGCAAAUAAAGCUCUUUGUCAUGGAUCUGAGUGGUAUUUGCACACUCGUAAUAUACUCAGACCGACAUGCAUCAGUCACAGAUUCGAGUGGUGUUCGCCGGAGACGUGACGAUGCUGAACGGCGCGACGGUGAAGGUUGUCGCUGGGCAUCUAGGUUUCGCAUCGGAAGAAGAUAGACAACGACGUCGUUCCCUUCCGUUGGACCCGUGGACCCGGCCCGAACCGCCCGUUUCAAACAGGCCGGGUUAUGUCCGGUUUCAACUUCAGAAAUUUCAAUACCCGCCCCGCCCCGCCCCGUUCCAUUUUAAAGCGGGUCCGGUCCGGUCCCUUCAAAUUUGGGCCAGGCCCGGCCCGUGCCCACCCCUAGAUGUAUCGGCACGUGUGCUGUUACGCUUGUCUCCACAUGCUUCCUUGUAUCCUUCUCACUUGCCCUAUCUGUUCCUCAUGCAGAUGCGGUAUCUUCUCUGGAAGCAUAAGAUGUUGAAGAUGAGUACUCGAGAGCAAUGUCAGGUAAGUAAUCAGGUAAGGGGUUCCAGGCAGUCAGUUCCUGGCUAGAAGCUUGAUUCAAGUGCUGACUGAUUGCUCUCUUUCUCUUUGUCUUGCAGGUAAGAACAAGGCCAAAGGAAAAGACAGGGAAAAAGCAUGAUAUGGGAUACUCUUGCUUUUAACCCUGAUGAUAUGAGAUAUUCUUGCUCUAGUAUAGCUUGUUUACAGAGGUAUUAUUGGGGGGAAAGAAAGCUGAAUAUUUCGAAAGGCUUCGUUGGAAGUGCCCUCUCAGAUAAGAGGAAAGGUUGAGCAUUUUUGCAGGUCUGCCUAUCCGUUAGGGAUGGAGGUCGACAUAUAUAGGAGUCUCCCUAACAUCAAGUAAUAAUGUUAUUCCUUUACCCUGCUUGGUCAUAGCACGGUAGUGGGAGCUACCAGCUUCACAUGUUUUAACUCUGUCAGAGCACUUUGAAAAAGUGGUCUGUGGUAUCUGGAAAGCUGAUGUUGCGUGUGAAGAUUACAGACAAACUUUAUCCAAGGAGAUCCAGCUCUUGAAGUUGGGAAAUUGGUGCCUCUUCGGUUUUCGAACAAGCAAUCCUGUCGGGGAUCUGGCUCUCGAGAUUCGGAGAACGAUGCCUCUUCGAUUUUUGAGAAAGCAAUCAUGCUGGGGGUCUGGCUCUCGAGAUUCAGAUAGCAGUGUCUCUUCAAUUUUUGAGAAAGUAAUCAUGUUGGGAGUCUGGCUCUCGAGAUUCGGAGGGCGGUGCCUCUUCGAUUUUGGAGCAAGCAAUCUUGUUGGGAGUGUUUUCUCGAAUGUGAGUAAAGGUUGGGCAUGUUUGCUAGUCUACCUUGCCACGUAGCACAGAGGUUGACACACAGGGACUUUCCAAUUAUCCAGCAGUGGUACUAUUCCUUUACCCUCUCUUCGAUUUUUUAGAAAGUAAUCAUGUUGGGAGUCUGGCUCUCGAGAUUCGGAGGGCGGUGCCUCUUCGAUUUUGGAGCAAGCAAUCUUGUUAGGAGUGUUUUCUCGAAUGUGAGUAAAGGUUAGGCAUGUUUGCUAGUCUACCUUGCCACGAAGCACAGAAGUUGACACACAGGGACUUUCCAAUUAUCCAGCAGUGGUACUGUUCCUUUACCCUCUCUUUGAUUUUUGAGAAAGUAAUCAUGUUGGGAGUCUGGCUCUCGAGAUUCGGAGGGCGGUGCCUCUUCGAUUUUGGAGCAAGCAAUCUUGUUGGGAGUGUUUUCUUGAAUGUGAGUAAAGGUUGGGCAUGUUUGCUAGUCUACCUUGCCACGAAGCACAGAGGUUGACACACCGGGACUUUCCAAUUAUCCAGCAGUGGUACUGUUCCUUUACCCUUGUGGGUAAUAAUAUGGUAGCUAGACCUUCAAAAUUUAUGUGUCUAAACUUUGUUAGUGUUGUUUCUUUGCUAUUCUUUUACCCUUCUUGGUCAGAGCGAUGUAGUGGGAGCUGCAAGCUUCACGUGUCUCAACUUUGUCAGAGAACUUUGGCAAAGUUAUCUGUGGUACCCAUGAGCUACUGUUGCGUGUGGGAAGUGGGUGAUUGAACAGUACGAUUCAUGUGCUUUCUACUUCGCCAGAAUUCUUUAACAGAAUGCCCAUAAUUUCCGCAAAGCCGAGUGUGCGUGUGACAGGUGCUGACAAGGCUGGAAAAGUAGGUGCCUCUUCGAUUUUUGAGAUCGGCCCUCGUGGUCUCUGAGCAGCCCAGCUUUUGAGAAAGCAAGCCUCUUCGAUUUCUGAGAUCGGCCUUCGUGGUCUUUGAGCAGCCUAGCUUUUGAGAAAGCAAACGCCUCUUCGAUUUCUGAGAUCGACCCUCGUGGUCUCUGAGCAGCCCAUCUUUUGAGAAAGCAAACGCCUCUUCGAUUUCUGAGCAGACGCCUCUUUGAUUUCUGAAGCUUCGUCGAGUGCAGAUUUUUAUAGGGGCUGACAUUAAGUUCCAAAGCACACUUGAAUAUCCACCAGUAGAAGCUCCAUUCUUGCACUUCUAAGAUCUUGAUUUGUCCGACCUCUUCUCUCUUCAACACCUUUGAAAAUGUCUGGCCCCUCCGAUCGUCGUUUUGACUUGAACCUUGUUGAAGAGGCAGCCCUGCCUUUUCCAGACAACAUAUGGCGCCCAUCAUUCGUCUCCCCUACUAGUCCUCUUACCGUUGGGGAUUCCGUGAUGAAGAAUGAUAUGACCGCUGCGGUAGUGGCCAGGAACCUUCUCACUCCCAAAGAUAACAGACUACUUUCCAAACGGUCUGAUGAGUUGGCUGUUAAGGAUUCUCUGGCUCUCAGUGUUCAGUGUGCAGGUUCUGUGUCUAAUAUGGCCCAACGCCUAUUUGCUCGAACCCGCCAAGUUGAAUCCUUGGCGGCUGAAGUGAUGAGUCUCAAACAGGAGAUUAGAGGGCUCAAGCAUGAGAAUAAACAGUUGCACCGGCUCGCACAUGACUAUGCUACAAACAUGAAAAGGAAGCUUGACCAGAUGAAGGAAUCUGAUGGUCAGGUUUUACUUGAUCAUCAGAGAUUUGUGGGUUUGUUCCAAAGGCAUUUAUUGUCUUCGUCUUCUGGGGCUGUACCGCGUAAUGAAGCUCCAAAUGAUCAACCUCUGAUGCCUUCUCCUUCUAGGGUUCUGUCCAGUACUGAGGCUCCGAAUGAUCCCCUCCGGUGCCUUCUCUUUCUGGGGCUCUACCGACUGCUGAGACUUCUCCUAAGCAACCUUUGUGAAGGCUCCCUCUUGUUUGUUUAUUUUGACUCAAGUAUAUGUACAUAUUUGUGACUUAUCGGGGAUAUCAAUAAAUAAGUUUUCCUUCAUUCCAACGUAUUGUGUUAAAUACACCAAAGCCUUCUUCGCUAAGUUCUUUGAAUUUUCUUUUGUUGAAGCUUGUAUGUUGAAGCUUUGUGAGUGGAACAUGUAGGUUGAGGUAGUGUGCCCUUAAUUUCCCGAGUGAGGAAAACUUCUCGGUUGGAGACUUGGAAAAUCCAAGUCACUGAGUGGGAUCAGCUAUAUGAAUCUUAGAACGCCAUUGUGUUCUGUCCUGUGUCAUGUCCUCCGUUAGAUCCAAGUACUCUAAGUCUUUUCUUAGGGUCUCUUCCAAAGUUUUCCUAGGUCUUCCUCUACCCCUUCGGCCCUGAACCUCUGUCCCAUAGUCGCAUCUUCUAAUCGGAGCGUCAAUAGGCCUUCUUUGCACAUGUCCAAACCACCGUAACCGAUUUUCUCUCAUCUUUCCCUCAAUUUCGGCUACUCCUACUUUACCCCGGAUAUCCUCAUUCCUAAUCUUAUCCUUUCUCGUGUGCCCACACAUCCAUUGAAGCAUCCUCAUCUCCGCUACACCCAUUUUGUGUACGUGUUGAUGCUUCACCGCCCAACAUUCUGUGCCAUACAGCAUCGCCGACCUUAUUGCCGUCUUAUAAAAUUUUCCCUUGAGCUUCAGUGGCAUACGGUGGUCACACAACACGCCGGAUGCACUCUUCCACUUCAUCCAUCCAGCUUGUAUUCUAUGGUUGAGAUCUCCAUCUAAUUCUCCGUUCUUUUGCAAGAUAGAUCCUAGGUAACGAAAACGGUCGCUCUUUAGUAUUUCUUGAUCUUCGAUCCUCACCCUUAACUCGUUUUGGCCUCCAUUUGCACUGAACUUGCACUCCAUAUAUUCUGUCUUUGAUCGGCUUAGGCGAAGACCUUUAGAUUCCAACACUUCUCUCCAAAGGUUAAGCUUUGCAUUUACCCCUUCCUGAGUUUCAUCUAUCAACACUAUAUCGUCUGCGAAAAGCAUACACCAAGGAAUAUCAUCUUGAAUAUGUCCUGUUAUCUCAUCCAUUACCAACACAAAAAGGUAAGGACUUAAGGAUGAGCCUUGAUGUAAUCCUACAGUUAUGGGAAAGCUUUCGGUUUGUCCUUCAUGAGUUCUUACGGCAGUCUUUGCUCCUUCAUACAUAUCCUGUAUAGCUUGGAUAUAUGCUACUCGUACUCCUUUCUUCUCUAAAAUCCUCCAAAGAAUGUCUCUUGGGACCCUAUCAUACGCUUUUUCCAAAUCUAUAAAGACCAUGUGUAAAUCCUUUUUCCCAUCUCUAUAUUUUUCCAUCAAUCUUCGUAAGAGAUAGAUUGCCUCCAUGGUUGAGCGUCCUGGCAUGAACUCGAAUUGGUUGUCCGAAACCCGUGUCUCUUGCCUCAAUCUAUGCUCAAUGACUCUCUCCCAGAGCUUCAUUGUAUGACUCAUUAGCUUAAUACCCCAAUAGUUCAUGCAAUUUUGUACAUCACCCUUAUUCUUGUAGAUAGGCACCAAAGUGCUCAUUCGCCACUCAUUUGGCAUCUUCUUCGUUUUCAAAAUCCUAUUGAAAAUGUCAGUGAGCCAUGUUAUACCUGUCUCUCCCAAAACUUUCCGCACUUCGAUUGGUAUAUCGUCUGGGCCUACUGCUUUUCUAUGCUUCAUCUUCUUCAAAGCUACAACCACUUCUUCCUUCCGGAUUCUACGAUAAAAAGAGUAGUUUCUACACUCUUCUGAGUUACUCAACUCCCCUAAAGAAGCACUCCUUUCAUGUCCUUCAUUGAAAAGAUUAUGAAAAUAAACUUUCCAUCUGUCUUUAACCGCGUUCUCUGUAGCAAGAACCUUUCCAUCCUCAUCCUUGAUGCACCUCACUUGGUUUAGGUCCCUUGUCUUCUUUUCCCUUGCUCUAGCUAGUUUAUAGAUAUCCAACUCUCCUUCUUUGGUAUCUAUUCGCUUAUACAUAUCGUCAUAAGCCGCUAACUUAGCUUCUCUCACAGCUUUCUUCGCCUCUUGCUUCGCUUUUCUAUACCUUUCACCAUUUUCAUCGGUCCUAUCCUUGUAUAAGGCUUUACAACAUUCCUUCUUAGCUUUCACCUUUGUUUGUACCUCCUCAUUCCACCACCAAGAUUCCUUUUGAUGUGGGGCAAAGCCCUUGGACUCUCCUAAUACCUCUUUUGCUACUUUUCGGACACAACUAGCCAUGGAAUCCCACAUUUGGUUAGCUUCCUCCUCUCUAUCCCACACACACUGGGUGAUUACUUUCUCUUUGAAAAUGGCUUGUUUUUCUUCUUUUAGAUUCCACCAUCUAGUCCUUGGGCACUUCCAAGUCUUGUUCUUUUUUCUCACUCUUUUGAUAUGUACAUCCAUCACCAACAAGCGAUGUUGAUUAGUCACGCUCUCUCCUGGUAUAACUUUGCAAUCCUUACAAGUUAUACGAUCCCCUUUCCUCAUUAUAAGAAAAUCUAUUUGUGUUUUUUACGACCCACUCUUGUAGGUGAUCACAUGUUCUUCUCUCUUCUUAAAGAAUGUGUUGGCUAAUAAGAGAUCAUAUGCCAUUGCAAAAUCCAAGAUAGCUUCCCCAUCCUCGUUUCUCUCCCCAAAACCAUGGCCACCAUGAAAACCUCCAUAGUUGCCUGUCUCCCUGCCCACGUGUCCAUUUAAAUCUCUUCCUAUAAAUAACUUCUCCAUUUGAGCAAUUCCUUGCACCAAGUCUCCAAGGUCUUCCCAAAAUUUCUCCUUCGAAUUCGUAUCCAACCCUACUUGAGGUGCGUACGCACUAAUCACAUUGAUAAGUUCUUGUCCUAUUACAAUCUUGAUUGCCAUGAUUCUAUCUCCUACCCUCUUGACAUCUUCAACAUCUUGUGUCAAGGUCUUGUCCACGAUGAUGCCAACACCGUUUCUCGUUCUAUUUGUGCCCUAAUACCAUAGUUUAAACCCUGAGUUUUCUAGAUCCUUUGCCUUACGACCAACCCACUUAGUUUCUUGUAGGCACAUAAUAUUUAUCCUUCUCCUCACCAUAACUUCUACUACUUCCAUAGAUUUUCCCGUCAAGGUUCCUAUAUUCCACGUUCCUAAACGCAUUUUGCUCUCUUGAACUCUACCCUUAUGUCCUAGCUUCUUCACCCUUCCCCGUCUAAUAGGAUCAAAGUACUUCUUUUGUGUGUCCCGUGUAAAGUUGAUAGGAGCAUAUGCUCCCAAACAACUUUGAGUGGAGUCGUUCGAAAAGAAGUUUCUAUAGCCCCAUUGCUCAUUUAACACUGCAUCCGGGUGCCGAUGGAGAUACAGCGACCCUUGCUCACUUAUCACUGUGCUCGGGCCACACAGCGCGCCACUUACAGGUGAUGCCCUAGCUUUAGCGCGAUUUCGUUCUGGAUUCAUUUUCAUAAGGAUUCGACGUAAUCAUGGAGUGCCGGCUGUCGACUACCUGACGCCCUCCCCCUCCUCCUUUAUCUGGGCUUGAGACCGGCAAUGUAAGAUAAACUUACACGGCGGAGUUAAAUUGCAUACUAUAUAUGACACAAAAAUAUUCCCCAUAUAUCAUGUACGUCUUGAAAGUAAAACCUCUACUUGCUUUCCAAAAUUUUAAACUGGAAAAUUGAGGAUUCCCACGAUAACAAUUUCGUUUUCAAUCUGGUACAGAAAGAUUGUGUGUCUGGGGCCUAACCUGGGAGCAUGGACAAAAAUGAGGACUCGCAGCUGAAGUGAGAGAGGGGCUGGCAUAGGCAGAACACCCGCACGAGAGAGAAAACGCAAUCUUGUCUGAAUAGAAGUCUGGUUAUGUAUAGAAAGGCCAACUGUUGACUUGAGAUAUAAUGCAAGUUGAGGGUCGUCUAAAUUGGUAGACUUCCUCGCAAAAGCUUGAUCGAUGUAAAAAAUACGCGGCAAGGUGGUUAGCAGUUACUGUCAAUUGGGCUCGUAUCGUCAAAUCAGAUUGGCUUGUAAGUUACGGAGCAGGUGAGUGUAUUUGGCCUUAGAAAUUUCACUGCAAAAUCCGAUUUUUAGUGUGCCGAGAAUAUGGCUCGUACACAAAGUGUUAUAAUACAAGUAGUUUGAUACUUGAAAAAAACAAAAAAAAAUCAACCACUUAGUGUACUAAACUGUGUUCCCGACACUGAAUUUUUUUUCACCGAAGUCCCCACUUCCACAUCCAAAAAAAUUAGGUUGAGUUUGAAAUCUCCAAAAGAAUUUGCAUGCGACUAUUGCAACGCCAAGCAGUGUUUGUCAACUAGUUUAUAGCAUAACACGUGUAUCAAUUUAUUAAGGCUUUUUAGCUAAAAUGAUCUUUAAGAUUUGCAUAACUUUUUACUUUGGACCUUGAAAUUUAAAAUCAAUACAAGUGGUCCUUGAGAUUGUCCACCAUCAAUCAUUUUUGUAACGACCUGUCCCCAAAAAUUUCAGUUUUUAUAAUUUUAAAAGUUGAAAUUACAAAAUUGCCCUUCAAGGCUAAACGUUGACUUUUGUUGACCGCCUUGUCGUUUCAUGAAAGACCUAUUUUAUUGGCGUAUCCUCGUAGUACUCGUCGCUAUGAGCGAGUGGACGCAAGCGGAAUCGAAUUUGGAGUUAUAACGAAGAAGAUAUUAACGUUUAAACUCGGGGGCAUUUUAGUAAAUUUAAUCUUCACUCUAGAAGGCUAUAGAUUUUCUGGAGCAAUCUUAUUAAGCGACGUGGACGGUUGUGAUGAGUAGUUGAGGAGAGAAAUGAGAGAGAUGGACAGAAGAAGGUAGAGGAAAGGAGGUGACCAAUGGGAAAGGAGAAAAAUGAGAGAAAGGAAAGAGAGGAGGAAGGAGGGGAACCCGGUCCCUUCCCUUCGACUUGGUUCCUUCUAUGACCUACCCGUUUCUCUUCAAAUUUCAAACAGUUUUCUUCGAUUUUUCUUCUGUUUUCCGACAAAUUGUAGCCAACCAACACCACCAAUCAGCUCGGUGUCAUUCCAGCUUCCAUUUCCACCCAAGUUUGAUGGCUAUUGGUCGUGAUUUCAUGACGAAUACCCACGUUGACUCCGAGGGCACCCACAACGGCGAUCCGCUAUUUUUGAAGCUAGUGCAGUUGGCCACCACCAUCAAUCGACUCCUCUUGAGGACGAAUUGGAGUGCACCCAAAUCGAAGAAAACCACCAUCAACCAGAGAUUUACUAAAUUGAACUCAGGGGCAUUUUAUAUUUGGGUGCUCUCCAAUUCAUAGUGCAGUCGCCCAUGCAUUGGUUGGGGCGUUGGAGUUCAAUUUGAGGACAAAUUAGAGAGCACCCAAAUCUAGGGUUCUGGCGGGUUCAAGGGAAAUUAGGGCUUUUCCCAGCCAAAUUGGCCUUAGGUAUGAAAAUUGUUCCUCUCAUUGCGAUCUUCAUUCCUGUAAAUUUUGGGAAUUUUUGGAGUUGUUGGAUGAGUGGAGGAAAAACCCAAGGUCCCUCCUUAGGUUUUUCACAUUCUGAGUUCAAAUAUGCCGUCUGUUUUCCCAGAUUCUAUCGUUUAGGUAUAGUUUUACUAAAAGGUCUCUAAUUGUGUUUAGGCGCGUUGGCGGGAAGGGACGUCAUCUUCGCUAGUUCGAGCAGUUCUCGGGCAAUAAAAACUUGUGAGUGGACCUGUUCAUAACUUAUAUAUUUCUAUAAAAUAUUAGCCUAGCAUGCAUUGCAUAUUUCAUGAUUUGAGUAAGUUUUAUAUUAUGCUUUACGAAUUUCAAUAUUUUUGGCUUAUGAGAUAUUUAUGUUUUAUCACAUUUACGUUUUGCAAAAGGUUAUGAAUUAUUAGAUUUUCCUAUAUGAAACUCUAUGAAUUAUGAAUAUGACUUAUAUUACGGUUUUCGAAUAUGAGUUAUAAAUCAUGGGAUUUUCGGUUAUGAAAUUCUAAGGAUUCACGUAUCUGUUUAUUAUGGAUUUAUGAAUAUGUUUUGCCAUGGAUUUAUGUGACGAGGUUUGAGCUUUUGAGCUCCGAUGUUUGAUACGAGUUUUUGAGACAUGUUUUUAGUACUUAUUUAGUGGGUUAUCAUACGGCACAUCCGCACACCACGGGUAUAGAUGUCUAUACCCAUAGGACACAGAUGAUGGAGGAAUGAGAUAUGAUAUAUUAUAUACCCUCAGCUUCAUUGCUGAAAGCAGUGUCAGACAGCUUCACUAGCCACGGUUAGUGUCAGUGUGGAUGUAUGCUAUUUUAUACAGCUUCACCUUCGGCUGAUGGACAGGUUAUACAACUUUACCUUCGGGUGAUGGACAAGUUAUUCAGCUUCACCUUCGGGUGAUGGACAUUUACUGCCUUCGGGGUACUAUGUGACACGCCCCGAUCCUGAUAUUCCCCAAACACCAGGGUAGGUACGUGCUAGCCGACACCCGAAGGUGACGCAAGCCAUUUAGAAUGCAUGAGAACAAGAAUAAAUAGGACUUAUAAAUUUAAAUAUAAUGAAUAAGCAUUUAAGGAACGUGUUCAGAGCAUACAACUAACUAUAACACUAAAAGGAAUAACAUAAAAUUGAAAGAAUAAAAGAAUGGGUCCUACACCGAAAGGACUCGAAGAUACCGAUGCGGAAGUGCCUUGACGCAGGGAUUGUACACCUCGAUUCUAAGUCCUGAAGGGGGUGCAAAACAAACAUAAGUGGACCAACUUUAUAUAUAUAUAUAUAUAAUAUUGAAACAGUUAUCAACAUACUAACCCUCAGGUUUUAUGAAAACACAUAUAUCAUGAUAAAUAAAAUAGGUUUUUACGAAACCUAUCAUGCAGUGCAAUGCCUCAAAACAUAACUCGUAUAUAUAUAGUAAUCGCUAGUGAAUGUCCAAUCUCACUCCAAGCCCUGUGCCAGCUCCCUGUCCCUGUGCCAAUUGCCAGAGGAAAAUCACCUCAGGCCCCGUGCCAGCUUCCCAUGUCUCUCAACCCAUAGUUAGAGAUUAUUUCUUCAGGCCCUAUGCCAACACUAUAACGUCGCCCAUGACGAAAUCUAUCCCUCGCCCCGUAGCGGAAUAGGGACCACUAGGUAAGUACAAAACCAUUGAACAUACAUAUAUUUGAAAAGCAACUUCAUAGUAUAAAGUCAUUCAUCAUCUAUAUUAUAAAAAGGUGUUUGAAACAUGUUCUAAAUAUUAUAUCGUCAUCCAUCAGAUAUUCUAUAAAGAACACGGAUUAUAGGACUAUAACAUCAAAACAGGCUAUCCACUUGCUGCGUCCAACCUCCACACAUGCUUCCAUCUCAUUCUCAACUUCGUGAGGAAGUGGGAAGUCAUGUUACUCUAUUUGUACAUAGGCAAGAAAUUCCAAAACGAUGAGAUGUAAAAGGCAGAUUGUGUGAACAUGGUAUUAUAUAUGCAAUUUUGUUUGGACAUGGGUUUGGUUUGAGGUGGUACGUCUUGUAUUAAGUGGGAUGCUUACGACAAAGUUGGUAUAUGAAAUUGAACAGGUUUUGAUGAUUAGGUUUAAAUCUUGACGUGUCACUUUUGCUUACUAUAGGUCGGUUGGAUGCUAGGGAAAUCUCUUCUAAAGUGGAACUCUUCAUAAAUUAUAUGUCACAUCAUGUUUUUGGAAUAAUAUUUUAUAAUGUUGACAUAAGAAUUGUGUCAAAAACAAGAUGUGACAGAGAGUAUAUGUAGAGUCUUACUUUUGAGAGUCUCCUUAAUAUUUCUCUUUCUUAGCAAAAAUUCUCAAUCUUUCUAUCCUUGACGGUGGCAGAUAGUCCACAGAGAGUCCUACUUUGAGAAAGUCUCCCUAUUAUUUCUCAGCCAAGGAAACUCUCUCAAAAUAGGACUAUAAAUUCACUGACACCUCAUGUUUUUUGCACAAUAUUUUAUAAUAUUAGCACGAGAAUUGAUGUUAUACUGUGAGAUGAUAGAGAGUCCGUAAAGAGUUUCAAUUUGAGAUAGUCUCAUUUAUUGUUAAGAGACACUAAUCCCAACUGCUAAUCUUUAUCUUUACUACUAUAAAGCCAACACAAAGUCAUCAUAUAUUAAUAUUAACCUCCCACUAAGUAUACAAUAACAAUUUAAAAAGUAAAUGAGUAAAAGUGCAAAAUAAAAGUAGUAUUGUCACUUUACUUUGAAUAGAAAGAAAUAUGAAUUAUUCUCAUUCGAAUGUCUACUUGCAAUAAAAGAAUCAAGGACAGUUGGAAUUCACCUGGGAUUAGGAUUGGCAUGACGAGAAAUGCUAAGGAGACUCUUUCAAAAGUAAGACUCUCUAUGAAUUUUCUCUAUCAUCUCAUGUUUUUGUUACAAUGUUUAUAUUGUUGGCACGAGAAUUAACAUUUAUUUGUACCAUACUUAGGGCCUCCAUAUUUAGAUCUCGUAUAAAUACUCGGGGGACUUAAAUGUAAUUAUGUAAUAAAGGAAUGGGCAAAUAUGUAAUAAGUGAGGAACCCUUAUUCUAUAAAAUGACUCAUCACCCUCACAAUUAGGGGAGGCCAAUUCUUAGGCAUGAGAUCCUCACACUCUCUCCCUCACAAUCCUCUUAGAAAUACAAUAUCAGUGUGGACGUAGCCCAAACCUUGGGGUGAACCACGAUACAUCUUGUGUUAUUUACUUUCUUGCAGAUUCACGGUCGGAUUUACGUUGUUCCAAGACCUCCAGUUUUAUGCAUCAACAUUUGGCGUCGUCUGUGGGAAUCAACACAAAAAGUUAUGUCGGUCCUCUUUCAUUUUUUUCAUCUCACCACCAUGAAACCUCACCACUGUCCACCGUGGAUUGCAAAAAUCCAUACAGUGACACAUCCACGGAGAUAAUAGACGAGAAAAAGCUGCAAAGCUACCACGCUUUUAAUAGCCAAGGGAACUUGAUUAACUUACUACCUGCAGAUUGCCCAUUUCCAACACGUGUCAACUAAUGAGAUUGCCUAUUUCCAUGUCCUUGGCCUCUCACAUAGAGAGGGUUCUCUGGACUCUGGACCAAAUCACCACUCGUGUUUUCGAUCUUGCCGCCCAGAUCUCCGCCGACCUCUCCCCCUUCUCCGAACCCCUUGCACUCGUAGAUGUUGCCAACAACACCUUUCUCUUCCUCGCCGACUUGGCCCUCCAAAUCCUCUUCCCCGUCACCGUCGACUUCAUCCGUGCCAAAUCCUACGGCUCCAGGACCCUGUCCAUUAGUCCCCUAGAGAGGAUAGCCAUUUAUGAUCAAAGUUACCUUUGCUUUUCCCGGAUCCAUGGAUUUUGGGACCUCCGCUUUCUUUUCCGAUGGAUCUGAGGAUCUCCGUUCAUCUUUUUGUUCAUAGCUUCUGAUCCAACCCUCUGCAGACAGGCCAUGGGCGAAUCGGAGUCGCAGAUUCCUAGAUUAGGGUUUUUAAUCCAAGUUCGGGGGUUGUUGGGGAUCAUGGUGAUCUAGUGUCCCCACUCCCAUGGCUGCGAUCAUCGUUCACAGAAAAGGAGGUGCGACCUCUGAUGAUGGCGGCUAUGAGGUGAGGUUCUGGCUCUGUGCGGUUGGGAAUGGCAGAGAGAGAAGUGGCACGGAUUUGUGACGGCGAAUUCUCGAGACUUUGAGAAAUGAAACGGCUAUACUGUGAACAACACUUGCAUUCAUUGCCACCUCCAAAUUCUCUUUGGUUCUGCAACACUCUAAACCCGGUUUCUUACAGGCAAUACUGUGAACAACACCUGCACAAUUAAAGGUCUUGUAGAUGUGCUUUGCUUCCAUCAAAUGUUUGAAGGCAUGGGUUUUGGGGUUCGACAAGGCUGACAAUAUUCCAUAUGGUUUUGGGCUGUCCAAGCAGCUGUCAUUUCAGAGAAAAGCAAGAACAGCAAUGGCAAUUAAAAGCUUAAAGUCAGAUGGUCUCCAAGGCCAUAAAACAUGGGUGUAGGGGUGGGCAAACGGGUCUAGGAAUCGCGAGGCGGACCAGGUCUAGCCGGUUCGAGGCGCGUACCGGGCGGGUACAAGUUUUGUAAACUCAAAACGGGGCGGGUCCAUGUAAUUAGCGGGGCGGGGCGGGUCUAAAUUUCUGAAAAACCGAGUACCCGGGCCCGGACCGUUUCCACCGUCCAUAUACGAAGAUUAAAUCUCUACCAUUCAUUACUACCACUCUUUCUCUUAGUCGCUGACUCUCGCCUCCUCUCUCGACUUUUCCAGGAUCCAUCCUCUCUCAAGAUGGACUCUUGCCUACUCCACCGCUUCCUCAGCGCCUACUCCACCGCUCACUCCUCCUCUCGUUGAAGCCACGGCGGUCUUCAUCGGUGCUACCCCUACCCCAUAUUCUCUCAGAUCAGAGUCUUCGCUCCCCUCUCCCACUCUAGUCGAGGCCUCUUGUGAACACCACCACCGCCGUCGAAACCUCCUCCAUGAAAGACGCCUUCUCCAAAUAUUCUGAUUACCUCAACAAUCUCGUAAUCCCCAAUUUAAUCUUCACCAAUUUGCAGCUCUGUGAUCGACUCGAAGGUUUGUAGAAUGACAAGCGGGAAAGGGUUGUAAAAGCAAGUCGCGAUAUCACCAUUAAUAGCAAAAAGGUCAUCUUUAAGGUUCACAGGUAAGAAAGCUGCGACCUUUUGCUUCAAAUUUUGUUUCUGUUUUUUGGGUUUUUGGUUUUUUUUUUAUAAUAAUUUUAUUUAUAUCAUCAUUGAAAUGAUGUUGUUGUGGAAUUUGAACUUGAACAGAAUCAGUAAACACAACAAAGAGGAAGUUCUGCAGAAAGCUGAAAAGGAUUUAGUAGCUGUGAGUCUGUGACAGAUCAGUACAUGUCCCAGCUUGUUAGAGAGAUGCAGGCUAAAUUUUUUUCUUUUAUUACUGUUACUCUGGGAUUCUUUGAGAAAACUUGAAGCUUGAAUUGUUUUUGUUUUCUGGGUGAUUUGGAAAAUGGGCGAAAAAAAAAACAAGGACCCGUGUACCCGGCCCAAACCGGCCCAUUUGAAAAGGUUCGGUUUUUAUUUUAAAAUUUGUUGCACCUGGCCCACUCCGGCCCGUUUCUUUUACACCCGGGUCCGGUCCGGUCCCUUCAAAAUUGGGCCCGGCCCGGCCCGGCCCGUGCCCAACCCUACAUGGGUGGACAGAGGAGCGGAAAGAGAAAGCAAAAGCAAAAGAUUAUUCCCUUGUCUGUCAUCUGCCAAAAGAAAGAAAAAUAAAGAGAAAGCAAAAGGGAGGCACAUGGGGACACUGCAAAAGUAGGGAAUAAACACCACACCAGAAUGAUGUGAUUUACUUUUCUUGUUUUUGUAUUAUGUAAUUUAUUUUUCCUAUCUUUCGGAGAUAUAUGUAUAAACCCCAUCAGAAGGUAAUAGUAAAAAUAAAAAUAAAAACGGCAAAGCCCAAAAUAAAUGGGCUGACAUGUUGUGGAGGACGAAGGCCCAUAAACCCAAAAUAGCACCAACCAGGUGAUCAAAAGUACGUCCAGUACUCCAAAAUUAUUCGGCAACCUACCGCUAUUACCACCAACCAGGUGAUCAAAAGUAAGCCCAGUACUUCAAAUUAUACAUGAGUAUUACUCAUGUCAAUCAUACAUAAACAUUCAUGAGCAUCACUCAUUCAAUCAUACAUAAACAUUCAUGAGCAUCACUCAUGUCAACAUUCAUGAGCAUCACUCAUGUCAACAUCCAUGAGCAUCACUCAUGUCAAUCAACAUAAACAUUCAUGAGCAUCACUCAUGUCAAUCAGCUUUAAAAGCUUCAUUUACAAAAGCUCUAGCUUCAAAAGCUUCAUUUACAGAGCCCUAACUUCAAAAGCUUCAUUUACAAAAGCUUUAGCUUCAAAAGCUUCAUUUACAAAAGCUUUAGCUUCAAAAGCUUCAUUUACAGAGCUCCAGCUUCAAAAGCUUCAUUUACAAAAGCUCUAGCUUCAAAAGCUUCAUUUACAGAGCUCUAGCUUCAAAGCUUCACCUACAAAGCUUCAGUGCAGGGUAUACAAAUACCGCCUCCGAACAACCGCCACUUCGACCCAUACAUGGAUUCAAUUUGAAGUCUCUAGACAACAGACUCUAUUGACCGAAGACUUGGGGGACUACAUUAUGUACCAUAUAUUAGGCCUCAACUGGGCCUCAUGAAAAAUACUUGGGGGACUUAGCCCAUUAUUUAUGUACGGAUGAGCGAACCCUUAUUCUAUAAAAGGGACUCCUUCACUUUCAUUAGAAAGCACCCAUAACUUAUGUAUUGAGGAGCGAGCCCUUAUUCUAUAAAAUGGACUCCCUCACCAUCAUUAGAGAGCAUCGCCGCCUACUGAGCAACCGCCUCGCUGCGAGCAUCACUCCUAACCCAUCACUUAUGUAUCGAGGAGCAAGCCCUUAGUUUAUAAAAGGGACUCCAUCACCAUCAUUAGAGAGCAUCGCCGUCUACUGAACAACCGCCUCGCCGCAAGCAUCACUCAUAACCCAUCACUUAUGUAUUGAGGAGCGAGCCCUUAGUUUAUAAAAGGGACUCCCUCACCAUCAUUAGAGAGCAUCGCCGCCUGCUAAGCAACCGCCUCGCCGCGAGCAUCAACUCUAGCCCAUCAUUUCUGUAUUGAGGAGCGAGCCAUUAUUCUAUAAAAAGGACUCCCUCACCUUCAACGCCACAAGCCAAACCAACCAAGGCAACAUAAGCCACAAGCCGAGCAGCCUCACAACAUAUGCUACAUCUAGUUGAGCCUCAUUUCACAUUGAGCACCGCCUCAUAUCGAGUAUUCAGCUCUAGACGACAUCUAGUUACUUCGGCCCACACAUGGACUGAAUUUCAAGUCUCCAGCCAAAAGACUCUCUUGACUGAAGACUUAGGGGACUACUGUUUGUACCAUACUUAGGGCCUCCGUAUUUAGAUCUCAUAUAAAUACUCGGGGGACUUAAAUGUAAUUAUGUAAUAAAGGAAGGGGCAAAUAUGUAAUAAGUGAGGAGCCCUUAUUCUAUAAAAUGACUCCUCACCCUCACAAUUAGGGGAGGCCAAUUCUUAGGCCUGAGAUCCUCACACUCUCUCCCUCACAAUCCUCUCAGAAAUACAAUAUAUGUGUGGACGUAGCCCAAACAUUGGGGUGAACCACGAUACAUCUUGUGUUAUUUACUUUCUUGCUGAUUCACGGUCAGAUUUAUGUUGUUCCAAGACCUCCGGUUUUGUGCAUCAACAACAUUAAACUUUGAAGUGGUAAAAAGUCCAUAGAGAGUCCUACUUUGACAUAAUCUCUUUAGCAUUAACAUCAAAAUGUGAAGAAGGAAUAAAACUUGGGGAACUUUUGUAUUCCAUCUUUUUUCGGUUCUCCUUCUCAUCAUGCAAUGUUGCACAAUGAUGGGAAUCGUCUCCUUUCAAGUUCAACCUUUAAUAUCAACUUUACCGAAAAUCAACCAAAUAAAAUAUCAUUAACUGUUCAUUUAACUUUGUUAAAAUUUAAGUGUUCAACUGAAUAACAAUAAUCUAUAUCAUUAGAUGACUAAACGAUUUAGGAUUAGAUUGAUUUCUACAAGAGUUGACCUUUAAAGGGGGACUUAGAAAAUAAUGGUGAUCAUCAUACAACAUUGUAGGAUGAAAAGGAGAGUCAAAUGAGAAGGAGAGCCAAAAAAGUAAAACGAGAAUGUUCAAAUGAGAAAGUAACAAUCUUCAAAAAAUUGUAAAUCAAUGUUUUUCUUAGCAAAGAGCUCUUACUGGACAAUUACAUUAUCUUAGAAAACCGACUUUGAAUUCAGUGAGGCCCAAUCCAGUUUAAACCCGACCCAAAACCAAGUCAUUGCUUCCAAGUAUUACUGCAGCCUCUUAAUUUCGGAGAUUAGCAGUGCCAAGAUACACAGGGUGCAAAAACAACAAUCAAUCAUAUACACGCUCAUCUAUGUCAACAUAGACAUGUCAAAAAUUCACAUGCCUCCAAGACCAUUUACAAAAUAUGAAAAGUUCCGUUCCAAGAACUCCGAUCUUCGAUACUUUAAAGAAGGAACAAUUUUACAUGUCAUUUUAUGGGAUAAACCACCUAAAGGUUUUAGCAGGCAAUCCAUCAUCCUAUAAUCAGUUGGGAUACAACGACCCCCUCCAAUGAAGAGAAAGACAAAUUUAAGCCCUGAAACCAAAUAAAUUUUAAUCGGGAUGAUGAAAUCAAUAUAACAUCUGUGUAGAGAGAAGCGCAUGCUAAUUUCUACAAUAGAUAGAAGUAGGAGCAAAGCAUAGAAUGCAAACCUCAGCCGUGCAUGCCAAAUAUCUCUGAAGUUAAGCGAGUUCGCGUGAGAGCAAUCCCAUGAUGGGUGACCCACUGGGAAGUUCUCGUGUGAGUUCCCAGAAACAAAACCGUGAUGGCAUGGUCGAGGUCCAAAGCGGACAAUAUCAUGCUACGGCGGAGUCGAGCUCAUGAUGUGGUGAGGGCCCGGGCCGGGAUGUGACAAUUUGGUAUUAGAGCCAAUCCUUGGCCGGAAGUGUGCAGACGAUGACGUCGGGCCCCUAAAGGGGGUGGAUUGUAAGAUCCCACAUCGCCCAAGGGAAUGGAUACUCUAAGCCUUAUAUGUAUAUUCUCAUCUCUACCCAGCACGAGGCCUUUUGGGAGCUCACUGGCUUCGGGUUCCAUCGGAACUCCGAAGUUAAGCGAGUUCGCGUGAGAGCAAUCCCAUGAUGGGUGACCCACUGUGAAGUUCUCGUGUGAGUUCCCAGAAACAAAACCGUGAUGGCGUGGUCGGGGUCCAAAGCGGACAAUAUCGUGCUACGGCGAAGUCGAGCCUGGGAUGUGGUGGGGGCCCGAGCCGGGAUGUGACAAUUUGGUAUCAGAGCCAAUCCCUAGUCGGAAGUGUGUCUACGAGGAUGUCGGGCCUCUAAGGGGGGUGGAUUGUAAGAUCCCACAUCGCCCAAGGGAGUGGAUCCUCUAAGCCUUAUAUGUAUAUUCUCAUCUCUACCCAGCACGAGGCAUUUUGGGAACUCACUGGCUUCGAGUUCCAUCGAAACUCCGAAGUUAAGCGAGUUCACGUGAGAGCAAUCCCAUGAUGGGUGACCCACUGGGAAGUUCUCGUGUGAGUUUCCAGAAACAAAACCGUGAGGGCGUGGUCGGGGUCCAAAGCGGAUAAUAUCGUUCUACGGCUGAGUCGAGCCCAGAAUGUGGUGGGGGCCCGGGUCGGGAUGUGAUACUUCUUCUCCCCCUUUCCUCCGCUACCAUCCCGCAGCUUUUCUCUUUUCUUUUUUUUUCUUUGUUUUCCCAGCCACUCACGUGGCUUCCUUUUUCAACAUUAUAUGAUCAAGGUGCUUCCAAAAAAUCAUACGUCGUAAAUAUAAUCGCGUUACAAUUAAUAUUACGAAAAUACGUAAUUUUAAAUAGUGAAAUCAGGGGACAGGAUUUCAAAAAAACCGUGAAGAAAGAUGACAUUGAGGGAGAAAACACAAGAGAAAAUGCUAAUUCGAUAGAACUUCAAAAUUAAAAAUAUAUAUAAAAAGGAGAGAUAUUGUGGAAGAAGAUUACUGGACAAAAUAACACAUGAAGGAAAGAUAUUGUGAGGGAGAAAUAAGAAAAGAGAAUUGAAACAAGAGAAAUGAACUUCCACAAACAAACAAAAAAGAAAAACACAAAAAAAAAAGAACAAGAACAAGAGAAAUGAACGGUUUGGGGAAGAAGAAGAAAAAUGAGAUUUAAAUUCCUAGAAUUAAUCCUAUAAUUAAGGAUAAGAUUAACAUUAAUCACAAAUUUUAAAAAAAAACAGUAAUUACUUAAUUAGUCAAUUUAAGGAUAAAUUUGGCAAGAGAAUACAAAUAGGGGUGUGAUAUCCACACACCCUUUUUUACUUCUCAUCCACCCCUUAUUGAUUUCUAUCAUUUGAUAUUCUUCAAUUAAACAAAAUGGGAAUAUAACUAAGGCGUUUUAGCUAAAACAGUUUUUGAGAUUUGCAUAACACAUUACUUUGAUCCCUAAGAUUUGAAAUCAAUAAAAGUGGUUCAUGAGAUUGUACACAAUCAAUCAUUUUGGUCAUUUAGUGCAAAAUUAUGUUAAAUAAAGAUCAAAAUGAUAAAUCUACCCUCAAUUAAUAAACAAUUGACCAAAAUAAUUUGACAAAAAUUAAAGGUAUUUUGAUCAUUCUAUUCUUAUUUAAUGAGAUUUUUCAAAAAAUGACCAAAAUGAUUGAUGGUGGACAAAUUCAAUAACCAAUUCUAUUGAUUUCAAAUCUCAGUGACUAUUUUAGCUAAAACACCUAUAACGAAUAAUGGCUCAUAAAAUUGGACUUAUAUCAAGUUUCCCCAAAAUAAAAUGAUUCUAGGUGCAAGAAUUGCAAACUAAAUUGGAACAGAAAACUAUAUAGGGCUACAUUAUGAAUAGAAAAAUAAGAUAAAAACACGCGGGGUGCAGAGAGACUAAAAUGAAAAGUUAAAUUAGUUUUUUUUUUUCGAUAUACAGCUUAAAUCAGUCUUGAUAAUAACCUAUUCCGUACAACAACAGAGACCGGUACAAUAGCAAUGAACUAAUUUCUUCAAAGCUUGCUACGAUAUAGCCGUCGUUGGAGUGUGAUGAACAAAGGAACUUUCGAGCCCGAGCCCAAUGACAGACUCUCGUCAAUCAAAAAUGUCAGGUCAUCAUCAUCGAUUAGCUCCACCGGUCGGGUUGGUGAUUUUGAUCCAUAUGCUGUCGUUACUAUGAUCGUAUAUUCACUGGGAUUUACCUCAAGAGAAUUAUACAGUUUCUGCACAAGUUCCUUGUAUGUAAUACUAUCCGAAACCG